rnacentral:rRNA from 1 species
UACGUAGGGUGCGAGCGUUGUCCGGAAUUACUGGGCGUAAAGAGCUCGUAGGUGGUUUGUCGCGUUGUUCGUGAAAACCGGGGGCUUAACCCUCGGCGUGCGGGCGAUACGGGCAGACUGGAGUAUUGCAGGGGAGACUGGAAUUCCUGGUGUAGCGGUGGAAUGCGCAGAUAUCAGGAGGAACACCGGUGGCGAAGGCGGGUCUCUGGGCAGUAACUGACGCUGAGGAGCGAAAGCGUGGGGAGCGAACAGG